UACGUAGGGUGCGAGCGUUGUCCGGAAUUAUUGGGCGUAAAGAGCUCGUAGGCGGUCUGUCGCGUCGGUCGUGAAAACUUGGGGCUUAACCCUGAGCUUGCGGUCGAUACGGGCAUGACUGGAGUUCGGUAGGGGAGACUGGAAUUUACGGUGUAGCGGUGAAAUGCGUAGAUAUCGUAAGGAAGACCAGUGGCGAAGGCGGGUCUCUGGACAGUUCCUGACGCUGAGGCACGAAGGCCAGGGGAGCAAACGGG
rnacentral:rRNA from 1 species